AUUGAACGCUGGCGGCAGGCUUAACACAUGCAAGUCGAGCGGGGGAAGGUAGCUUGCUACCGGACCCAGCGGCGGACGGGUGAGUAAUGCUUAGGAAUCUGCCUAUUAGUGGGGGACAGCAUCUCGAAAGGGAUGCUAAUACCGCAUACGUCCUACGGGAGAAAGCAGGGGAUCUUCGGACCUUGCGCUAAUAGAUGAGCCUAAGUCGGAUUAGCUAGUUGGUGGGGUAAAGGCCUACCAAGGCGACGAUCUGUAGCGGGUCUGAGAGGAUGAUCCGCCACACUGGGACUGAGACACGGCCCAGACUCCUACGGGAGGCAGCAGUGGGGAAUAUUGGACAAUGGGGGGAACCCUGAUCCAGCCAUGCCGCGUGUGUGAAGAAGGCCUUAUGGUUGUAAAGCACUUUAAGCGAGGAGGAGGCUACUCUAGUUAAUACCUAGGGAUAGUGGACGUUACUCGCAGAAUAAGCACCGGCUAACUCUGUGCCAGCCGCCGCGGUAA
rnacentral:rRNA from 1 species